AUGGGCCUCAGCCUGGGUCUGCAGCCUCCAGCCUCUCCAGUCUCUCUACUCUCAACCAACCUUCCCCUUUCCCACCCCCUGUUCCGCUCACCUCGGCAGGCCCAGGGCCCCGUGGGCACUCCGGCUUCCUGUCCUGGCCCUCCGGCAGGCCCAGCUCCAGCACUAAUGGUCCUGGGAGAUGAAGACCAGGAAAAGUUCAAGGAAGGACUCAGUCAUUGCCUCUUGGUACUCCCUGCCUUUACAUGCCGAGGCCACAGGACCCCACGAACUGGGAAGAGAGGGGAAGAAAGAGGACCACAUUUUGCUGGAGCUGGACCCACCGGGAGCCCAGGAGCAGGAGGCCAGAGAGCCCACGGGGCCCUCAGCCUGUGGAGUCUGGCUGGCCAGGAUGUGGAAUCCCAGGACAGAAGAGUAAAGGAAAGAGGUCCAGAGCCUGGAGGGAGCGGCGAGUGGGACAAGGCAGACAGGUGGGCAUCUCAGUCUCUUCCUCUUUCUUCCCAGACGGAGAAUUUGGAGGAAAGUGUCCCCAUCUUCUUAUCCCAGCCAUUGGCGUAUGCCACCAGGCCUCAGGCAAAGGGGCGAUCAGCGACCACGUUGUUGCCGGGUGAAUGGGGAGCUGCCCUGCCCACCGCCCAACAUAUUCCAAUGUUUUCCAUGCUAGAUCAGGACUCUGGCCUGAGGCAGUUCUGGGUAGGAGAGGGAACAGAUGAAAGGGGGAAAUAAGAGCUUCUUCAUUUGUUCCUCAUUUUCCCCCCAACAGGAUACACCACCUCACCCAUCCUGGGAAGGGCAUGGCUCUCAGGAGACCACUUGGUCCACCUACCCUAGAGUGAGAACCCAACCCACAAUGCCCCUCUCACCUCCCUCUGUUCUGUCCCCUACCUUUGUCCCCACUCAUCUCCCUUUCUCUCUUUUCCCUCUCCUUCUAAACCCCCUUCCUCUCCUCCUAUUUCACUUUCUCCUUGUUCUUUUUUUUCAAGUAGUUCCUUUCUGUCUGGCUUUACCUCUCCUAAUCCCUGGACUCUCUGGCUGGAAGGGGAGGGAACCGACUCCUUGAAAAUCCCCAUGAUGCAGUCAAAGAGACUGGGUACUGAGUGGGAAGGGCCACCCAGCUCCUCCCAGGCUUUCCCCUCCAUCAUUUCAGAAGAUUUAAAAACUACCCUUCGAUCUGAAUCUGCAAGUUUGUCAGCUCUUCACAGGUGAGGGAGGGUCAUUGUUGAGGAGUACCAGCCUGAGGGAGAUGAGGAUGAAGGCAGACAACAGACACGUAGUAUAGCUGGGGUUAGAACCCAGGUCCUUCUGACUUCCAGGCCCAUGCCCUAUUCCCUAGGCCACAGUUUUUCUCUUCCCUGAUCAAGCAAUAAGAAAUCCCCCUUAGUCCAGGGAGAUCUAGCUCCAUUUAUGGCUGAAUAGGUAUACGUGUAAUUUUGUGCUUGGUAAACUCUGAAAACAGAUUUUUGUCCAGGCCUGAUAAAUUACAUAUCUUUGAAAAUCAGUGGGAAAUUGCCUUCAAACAUAAUACCUUGAGCCUCUGAGUUUAGGUGUGCAUGCAUAUCCCUACAAACUCAUAUAUACGUUUGUGUGUGUGUGUGUGUGUGUAUGCAUGUCUUCUUCACUACAGAUAUGUUUGUAUGUGUGUAUGCUUGCUUUUCAUUCAGUAAGCCAGAGUGUGGGGCAAAGGCCCCAGACAGCAACCACAGGGCUCAACCACUCCCUGGGCAGCCUCACUGACAGUACCCCAUACUCCCAGAAUCUACUGGGGCAUCCCAACCAGGGAGGGCAGGAAAAGGGGCAGAGAGGCUUUUCCAUCCCCCACGAUAGUGUCCUCAGCACAGUAAGCUGAGGGGCACCAUAGCAGCCUCACCCACACGGCAGAGGACCGGCGGGUUAAGACGACUGAGGCAGUGAGGCCUGGGGCAGAGGUCAGCUGCCCACUGACACCCAGAAGGUGUAGGGAAGACCCCCAGGACACAGGGAUGAAGUCUGCAGGUCCCCGAUACCCCUGAGCUGUUUGGAAAAUGGGGGAGGGAAGUGGCCGGGCAGUGCUAUCCCCUUCCCGGCUAUCACGGCCAACAGGGUUCAGAGAUGUGGCCCAGCCCUACGAGGGGCAAUUCUGAACCAUCAGUGAUGUCACAACGGGACUAGGAGGGGUGUGCCUGGCUCUGAACGGGAGAGCUUUUGUGAGGGGUUGGAGACCGAGAGAGCGGAGGUGGUAGUGGUGGUGGUGGUGGUGGAGAGAUAUCAGUGGCGGUUUGGUAGUGGCUUGCUUUGUUGGAGAGCAAGAGUAGAUUGGAGUUGUGAGAGAGGAGAGAGGAGGAUUUUGGGUUUUGGUGCUGGGAGUGUGGUUUUGACUGGUUGAAGGAGAGGGUGUUGUAGAGGAGGUUACUGUAAGGAGAGGGUGUGAACUAGUUAGCGGGAUGCCUCGUCCCAGAGGGUGAGUCAGUCUUUCUGUCCGAAGGGGCCUGGCGCCGUCGGCUGGGAGGGCCCGGAGGGAGGAAAUCCAGAGGGAGGCGUCUGGGGUCUAGAUUGGGCCCAGAAGGAAAAUGUACAGAAAAGCAAAGAGGGGGCAAGGGGAAGAAAGGCAGCAUUGGCAGUGGGGUGGGAAGGGCAGAGGUCCUUCCCUGCUCCUUUGCAGGUGGGGAGAAGGGAGGGAUGGGGGACAGGAGCAGAGGGCUCAGGGACGCGCAGUCAUCCCGCCCCAGGAGCCUCGCUCUUCUUCUAUCCCCAUCCCUAACUAGUC
rnacentral:lncRNA from 1 species